UACAGAGGUCUCAAGCGUUGUUCGGAUUCAUUGGGCGUAAAGGGUGCGUAGGCGGCGCGGGUAAGUCGGGGUGUGAAAAUCUCGGGAGCUUAACUCCCGAAAACUGCAUUCGAUACUGCCCGUGCUUGAGGACUGGAGAGGAGACUGGAAUUUACGGUGUAGCGGUGAAAUGCGUAGAUAUCGUAAGGAAGACCAGUGGCGAAGGCGGGUCUCUGGACAGUUCCUGACGCUGAGGCACGAAGGGUCAGGGGGAGCAAACGGG
rnacentral:rRNA from 1 species